UAAAAGAAAGCUUAUUUCAUUUUUUUACAGGCUUAUAUAUUGGCAUGCAGGUCCAUUUAAUAAAUAAAGUUGUAAGAAAAUGAUCAAACUAAGGCUUUAGGGCCACAUGUGUCCCUUUGGAGCUUUUAACAGCCAUCAUUCUGCAAAAAACUUACUAGAUAUGCCUGUUAAGUGCCAUAGGGUACACAGAUUCUUUAAGCAUGUUGGUAUCUUAAAGUAUUUACAAUCUGGUUGAACAGAUAAGACUUGUACAAACAAAAUUACAAUUCAGGGAAGUAUAAGUUAAAUGUCAAGUGCCAGGUGAAAAAUGUUUCUAUUGAAAUUCAAAGGGAAAAAUAACUUCUGCUUAGAGUUUCACUUAAAACCUCCAUGCAAUCUCAAAGAAAAGAAUAAAAAUGAAAUGUUCUGAUUCUAGUUAAGAUACAGUGGGUACACAUGCAGUUUUGUUACAUGGGAAUACUGCAUGAUGCUGAGGUUUGAAGUAUGGAUCCCAUCACACAGAUAUUUGGAUGCCCUCAUUUGGUCACUUCAUUGAAAUCAAGACAAGCAGCCUCAAAGUUCAUAGAAAACCAGCCCCAAAGAUUUUUGGGCAAGCUAUUUCUCAAAAGAGGAUCAAAAUGUUUGAAUUUGCACACAGAAUUUUUAGCAGUGUGAUUAAAACAAAUCAUCUAAACUCUCAAGUUUCAGUUUCUCAACUGUAAGUAAUGAUAAUAUGUCUUCACGAUUUUCUUCUAUAUAGACAUACAGAUUAAAAAAGAAACUAUAUAAAAUAUUUUAUUAUAUAGCUAUAUUAUAAUAAUUCAUAUAGUUUUUCAGUAUUGUAAUUUUAAAAACUACUUUUUAAAAAUAAAUUCACUUUAAUUCCUUCAGUUCUUUAGUAAUGCAAGGACCUGGUUAUAUGUCUCAGUGAUUAUUUUAAUCAACUAAUUAUAUUUAAA
rnacentral:lncRNA from 1 species